ACCUGCUAGAAUAAGCACCGGCUAACUACGUGCCAGUCAGCCGUCGGUAAUACGUAGGGUGCUAAGCGUUAAUCGGAAUUACUGGGCGUAAAGCGUGCGUCAGGCGGUUCGGAAAGAAAGAUGUGAAAUCCCAGAGCUUAACUUUGGAACUGCAUUUUUAACUACCGGGCUAGAGUGUGUCAGAGGGAGGUGGAAUUCCGCGUGUAGCAGUGAAAUGCGUAGAUAUGCGGAGGAACACCGAUGGCGAAGGCAGCCUCCUGGGAUAACACUGACGCUCAUGCACGAAAGCGUGGGGAGCAAACAGGAUUAGAUACCCUGGUAG
rnacentral:rRNA from 1 species